rnacentral:rRNA from 1 species
UACGUAGGCAGCGAGCGUUGUUCGGAGUUACUGGGCGUAAAGGGCGCGUAGGCGGCCUUCUAAGUCGAACGUGAAAUCCCCGGGCUCAACCCGGGAACUGCGUCCGAUACUGGAAGGCUUGAAUCCGGGAGAGGGAUGCGGAAUUCCAGGUGUAGCGGUGAAAUGCGCAGAUAUCGGGAGGAACACCUAUGGCGAAGGCAGCUCGCUGGGACGUUACUGACACUGAGGCGCGAAAGCGUGGGGAGCGAACAGG